rnacentral:rRNA from 1 species
ACCCAUGGCCUAAAUACCCUAAAGGCACCAAAUCCUAUCUGAUCUUGGAAGCUAAGUAGGAUCAGUCCCAAUUAAUAAUUGAAUGGGUGUCCAUCAAUGUGUAUGAGGUGUUGUAGUUU